CAAAGCUUCCGUAGUUUGAGUCACAUGAGCGGUUUGUUGUGGUUUUCAGUGAAUUUAACCUCUUUUAAAAACAUCCAGCUGGCUCACAAACUGCGGCUGUAACAUCACAUUCACUGACGUUUGUUUGAAUUGUCCGGUUAACGUAAAGAAGUGUGUCAUCUUCUCAUAAUUACCGAUAAUUACGGGGAUAUUUAAUCGAGCGGAAGCGUCUCGUGUUUCUGUUUACGACCGUUACAGCGUCAUAACGUUAGCUUGUUUGUUAUGCUAACGUUCGCGCUAGGCUAGGCUAGGCUAGGCUAGCUAUGUUUCCGUCUGGUUUUCACAUUAAUAUAUAAACCGACUUCAUUCUGCUUCUUAACGUUAAUCGUUAACACUGACGUCAUGCUGCGGUGGAUCCUCGGUGGUCGCGAGGCUCAGGGCUCCGCGGAGAAAAGCCCCGUGUUGUGCAUCGGAGAGGAACAGCCCAAAAACUGGUUCACUGAGCUGCAGGUGCUGAAAGGACAUUUUGACAUUGUUCGAUUUCUGGUGCAGAUUGAUGACUUCAGAUGUGCCUCAGCAGGAGACGACGGCCUUGUUCUGGUCUGGAAUAUUGAGACGGGAGAGAGGCUGCAGGAGCUGCGAGGACACUCUCAGCAGAUAACAGCCAUGACCACCUUCACCUGCGAUAACGGACUCACAUCGCACACCUCGCUCAUCACAGCGUCCUCAGACCGAAGUCUCAGCCUGUGGGACCCCGACACAGGAAACAGAGUUCAGACCAUUUCAGACCUUCAGUCCUCUGUGAAGUGUUUGCUGGUGUUGGAGCGUCUGUGUGUGUGGAUCUCGGCCGGUGAGGAGUUGUGUGUGUGGAACAAAGACUUCCAGCUGCAGAGCCACAAACAGAACCACAGCGACACCGGAAUAACGGCUUUGAUAGAGCUGCCCAAGAACUGCCUCGCUGCCGCCAUGGAUAAAGAGAUCGUGAUCUACAGGCUGACGGUCUCCACUGACUCCUCUCUGUCUGUGGCUGAGAUCCGAUGUCUGUCCGACCACCAGGACCAGAUUCGAGCUCUCAUCAACGUCAACGACGGGCUCUUCGCCAGCGGCUCACAUGCCGGCGAGCUGAUCUUGUGGGACGCCGUAGAUUGGAACAUCCUGGCCUAUGAGCACAUCCUGUGGGAGGAGUCACAAGCCUGCGCUCAGGCAGAGAUACGACUGUCCGCUCCCAAACCCAGCGAGAUGUCCAUCCAGCACCUGACCACCAACGGGAGGCUCAUCCUGGCGGCGGUGGGCAGCGGCCUGUAUGUGUACAGCGUUCCGAGCAAGAUGGUGGUCGCCUACAGGAAGGUCGCUCAUGACUCGAACGUGUUACACACCAUGCUGCUGUCGGACAGUGAGCUCAUGUCCUGCUCUGAAGACGGCAGCGUGAGGAUGUGGGAGAUCCAGGACCUGCCGCUACCUGCUGAACCCGCGUCUGCAGGGUUCUUCGGGAUGUGGACUUUCAGUCGGUCAAACAAACAGACCGGUCCUCCGUCAAAGAAGGUCACGGAGGUCCCGAACAUCAGGAUGCUGGAGCUGACGGGCGAUCUGAUCGGACACUCGGGGGCAGUUCAGAUGUUUGUGAGCUUCGGGGAGAACGGUUUGGUCACGUGUUCGGCGGAUCACCUGCUGAUCCUGUGGAAGGACGGAGAGAGGCAGUCUCACCUGCGCAGCCUGGCACUGUUCGAAAAGCUGGAGGAGAACGGAGGACUCUGACCUUUAACCUUUAACCCGAGUCGCUGCCUUAAACUGAGCAGAGUGUUUUUGUUUCCAGCCUGGAGUUUUUCUGUGACAUCUUACUGGACUUCACCUGUGAUGUGUCGCCCUGUCAGGGACGAGCAGAAAUGAUACAAAACAGCAGAGGAUUGGCACGUUGUCGCAGCCGUCGGUGUCCGAGAUGAAGGAGAGGAGACAGAAACACUGUGAAGGCUGAUCGUUACACAACCAGCAGCUACACAACCUGCUUCUGCACUCGGACGACUCGGAGCGAGCGAGGCGUCGAACGACCGGCCGCCGUCUCGACUAAUUGAUAUCAUCGCAUUCAGUCAGUGCAGCUCGCAGGAAAGGCAAGUUUUCUAUCCCACGCGCAAAUCUGGAAAUCGUCUUUGUGAAUAGAAAUCUCUCGUUAUCGACUAGUAAAAAUAUUCUCUCAUGAUCAGUGAGAGCGGUCAUGGAACAUUCAGAGACUCAGGUCAGUGUAGAAAACUCUUCUAUUACAGACGCUGAUCAGAAAUCUCUCCUGCGACAAAAAUAAAACAGCCAAAACAAAAAAGGAACAUCAGCAACAUAAAAGCAUUAAAAACGAUGAUCCAGGUGAGUAUUUACAGGACAGCAGGUACGUUAGGUAGUUUACAGUGUAUCGCAACAGUAGCAGAACUAAACAGUGAGACUUGACAGGAUUAAGGCGUUCGUUAAGACCUCAGUCAUCAGUUUAAUUACUUCAUAUCAAACAUGGAUGGGACCAGUUUGUCUCCUUAAAGGUGAAGUUUGUAAGAAAUGGCCAGAAUUCAAAAAAGUAGCUCCAAAUCUACAGGAGGCAGCAUAACCGCUAACUGCUGCUCACUAUACUCCCAUUAUACAUGAGUGGAACCACAGACUGAUGCAGGAAUGAGCCCGAAAACCUGGAGGUAAGUUUGCAUUUCUGUACUCCUGUUGCCUCGUCGUCAGGGAUUUUCAUGUUUUGUGUUAUGACAUAAAAACAUUUUAAAAAAACUCCUCAGGUUUGAAUUUAAAGAAAUGUUUACAUGUAUUAAACACGCUGGUUGCUAACAAGGAGCUGGUGUGACGACACACUGAACAUGGAGGAUAAUCUGCUGAAGUUCUUUAUCGUUCAUCUGGGGGGGAAAAGCAAACUGCGUGAAACUCAUGAAAAAAGUGGAAAAACAAGUGUUGAAUCAAAAAAUUCACAGGAAAAAAAUUGUGGGAUUUUUUUUUAUAUAUAUAUAUAUUUUUUAUAUAAACAAAAAUUCAGGCAUUUUUCUGUGCAAGAAAAAACUUUUUUUCUUUGUGAAAGUGG